rnacentral:rRNA from 1 species
GUUGAACGCUGGCGGCAGGCUUAACACAUGCAAGUCGAGCGGGAAUAGGUAGCUUGCUACUGAAUUCUAGCGGCGGACGGGUGAGUAAAGCUUAGGAAUCUGCCAUUUAGUGGGGGACAACAUUCCGAAAGGGAUGCUAAUACCGCAUACGUCCUACGGGAGAAAGCAGGGGAUCUUCGGACCUUGCGCUAAAUGAUGAGCCUAAGUCGGAUUAGCUAGUUGGUGGGGUAAAGGCCUACCAAGGCGACGAUCUGUAGCGGGUCUGAGAGGAUGAUCCGCCACACUGGGACUGAGACACGGCCCAGACUCCUACGGGAGGCAGCAGUGGGGAAUAUUGGACAAUGGGGGGAACCCUGAUCCAGCCAUGCCGCGUGUGCGAAGAAGGCCUUUUGGUUGUAAAGCACUUUAAGCGAGGAGGAGGCUCCUGUAGAUAAUACCUACAGUGAGUGGACGUUACUCGCAGAAUAAGCACCGGCUAACUCUGUGCCAGCCGCCGCGGUAA